GAGCCCAGGAGCCAGACACCACCUUCGACGAUGACUGCUACUAUACCGGAGGUGCCUACUACUACGUGCAGCCCACUGACGACGACUAGGAGUAGUUUAGGAGGAACCCAGGCAGGAGGCCUGCGCCUCUUUCGAUAUGUAUCCCAGUUUGUGCUAGCCUUCUUAAGGCAGACUUGUUUAACCUAUGUCUGUACUCAGAUAUUGUUGCUUCCGCUGAGUCAUCUAUGAUCGAGCACUUGUAUUCGAGCCUUCGAGGCCCCUGGCUUGUAUUAUGAUGCUUGUAUGACUUAUUUUAUUUUAGAGUUGUGCUGUGAUAUCUUCCCGUGAGUCCCUGAUCUUGAUCGUAUACGUUUGCGUGUAUGAUUAGUGUACAGUCAAAUUGGGGGCGUCACAAGUUGGUAUCAGAGCUGACUGCCUGUAGGAAUCCCCCUUCCACACUCCUUGGCCGAAGUCGAGUCUAGACAUUACAAAUUUUUUACUAACAUGGCUGUGUGCCUUACAGGCCCACGUCGCCAUUGGGUGGUACUAGGAUCUUUUACUCGAUCUUUACUCUGGGACUCUAAUCUCUCCCCUAUUCGGGUUAAAUGAUUUUGCUAAAAAGACUAACUUUAGGUUCUCAAAAGACUUUCUCCCGGAGAGCCCUCACUCCAGAUGAUCCCUUGCUGCACCAGAAGAUUCUGAAGAUACUCUCCGAGGUUUUCCCGAGACCCUUGUGCCCACCGACUUUACAAUCCCCUACCACCGAUAUACCCUUAUGGAUAACUACCUACAAUUGUCGUUCAUACCUUCAUCCUCAGUUGAUCUUGUUAUUACAAGAUACCCCCAAAUUCUCUCUGUUGUUCCGAGAAUCCCUUGAGCUUACUGCCUUGCUGUUCUUUGCCACAUGAAUACCACUAUGGAUAAUUUCUAGCACUCACCGGAUAUUUUCUCAUACCCAGUUGAUUCAUGUAUUUCACAGAAGUCUUCAAAAUACUAUUUGAACUUCCGAAAAUCCUGAGUAGCCUAUUGCUCUUGAAAUUCUUACUUGCUUGCAUUAUGGUUAAUCCCAUAAGUCUAUAAUCUUAUUGGCAUCUCUUGUCAUUAUCAUUUUGAGUCCGUUGAUUCAAUUUCUUGCGAAUGCUCGCAAUCCUCAAUCAGAUCCUAGAAUUCAUCCUUCCGGCUCAAACGUCAUUUUAAACGUGAGCUGGUUCUUGCCGAUCAAAUUGUCGUCGAUUAUGCCCCUAAGUCUAUUGAACUUAUCCAUCCUUGAUCAGAGCGUCUGCUUCUGAUCCUUCACUUUGUAAAUCAUAAUUCCUUUGCAAUUGAGCUCUAAGUUAUUCAGUUGUUUCUAUAAUCCAAUGUCUUUGCAUUGAUUCUUUCUCUGGUUGUGAGCCGAUACUCACAUCAGAUUCUUUAUGGACCAUCAGAACCUUGUUGGAUUUUAUCCGACAACGUCCUUCAUAUUCAAUCACUUUGGAAGUUCUUUCCCUGAUAAAUAAUGCCUUUGGUAAAUCCUAUUCCUUGAUUUGGCCAACCAUGCUUUUCUUUCGAGCUGGUGAUGUUUACUAGAAGUUUGUGUUAUAUGUUCCUAAGAGGCCCCGAUGGGUUGGACAUAUGCCUUCUCUAAUCUAUGUGAACCCGGAAACUACUACGGUCAUACUCUACUGGUGUUAUGUCAGAUAAAAUUUCAACACCACAACUUCGUUGAAGACGAGAAGUGAAUGAAAGGUUGUGCAUUAAAGAAGUGGGAGUCGACCUUGAACUUUGUGUUCAUGCCCAUGGACCUGAUGUGGAACUUAUCAUGGAAGCUUCUUGCAAAAUAUUUAAUCCUUUGGGCAAUUCUUCCGGUGUCAUUACAUUGGAUCCCUUGCAGUUAUGGUUCCGACCAUAUUGUUCUUCUUUGAUCGCAUUUCUCGGGCAAGUUUAAGCAUUUGUCUUCUGCGCAUCAAUACCCCACUCCAACCUCUACUUUGAUCGGUCGUCGAGUAUUACCCCCCUCGUAUCUCGAUAAUAUCACAGAACCAUAUUAUUUCUUAUGAGUUCUUCUUCAAGUAUUAUUUCUCAUCAAUUCCAAUUUUUCCCCGGGUUCUGAGUUGUUAGACACUCAGGGACACCGAUAGUGAAUCGAGUCUGUAACCCAAUUCAUUAACUCUAAGUAAUUUUCGUUGCUUAUGAGUUUAAUAAUCCUUCAAGUCAUUCUUAGCCUGAUUGUCUAUUCCUUAUCGUGCUAAAUUUUAACUGUGCUACCUGGUCCUUCUUCCCGGAGCACCAUUUUUUAUGAUGAGCUAAGCUUACGUCGAUCUUCCUCAUCAUAUCAUUUCGCCUUGAACAACAAGCUUGAUUUCGAGUUUGUGUUGUACCCAUGGUUCCAAUAACCUUUCAAUUCAUCAUUCCUUUGACUUGAUGUCGUCACUAAUUGAUUACAUCUUCUUGAAAUCUCUUGACAAAUGUGUCGUGGUCAUCAUCAACCUUAUGAGCUCGUCCUGGAUAUCAAAAGGAUUCAUGAAGAGAAAUACCAUCCUUGCCCUAGAAGAGUUGUGUUAUCAUUGGCCACUUUAUUGCCUUCCCUCCAACACAAACUUGUUCGUAUUUUGUGUUGUACCUUGAGUUCCUUGCUACCCAGCAUUGUUCUUCUUUACCUUGAAAUAUUACCACCUUUUAUGUCAAGAAAGUCGUGGGAAUUUCACCACCUCUUAAGAACUCUUGGUAUGGUGAUACCUUUCACCAUCACCAUUCUUUCUUGGGUCCUCGUGUUGGUUCCAACCGGGGUACCAAGAAGUGAGCGGUGCUGUUUGGAUUCUGCCCUUCUAGCAACCCUAUUGCUUUGAAGUUAAUGGUCGGUCGUUCAUUCUUAGACUAUUGAUUAUUGAAUCACCAUUCUGACGUUGGUCGUGCAACCCAACCCAUUUUUCAGGUGCACCUUUCAACCAAUGUUUAAUUGGGUAUGUUUUCCUCGAGCAUACAUCAUUAUACCAUUUGAUCUGACAAAUGUUACCCCCUUGUUCACAUAGUUGUGGAAAUCCAUGUUUUCUUAAUCUCGAUGAAUUGUCGCUGAUUCCAUCAGCCACCUCCUCAUCCUCUCAUUGGUUUACUGAUGAACUCUUGUUUCGGAACUCGCUUCCAUAGUUCAUUUCCCGAGAAUCUUACAAUGUCAUCUCAUCAAAUUGUGCCGCACCUUUUCUUCUCAGGCCUCCUAAGUCUGAGGUAUCGUGACACCAAUCAGAUCUGAAUCUCGGUCAGAUAUGAUGGUUGGAACAUAUUUCCAAGAGUAAGGUUAUGUCAUGCCUAGCACACCUGGCGGGAGGAACUAUUGUUGUAGUAUCCUUUUUAGCAAGUUUAGCCAUUCUUCCAUGAGGAAAUUGUAAGACUUAUUCUAUAAGUUGCUCCUGAUGGAUCCUUUGUGAAUCCAAAGUAUGAUCUUUACCCAAUGACCAUGUCAGUGCUAUCUCGAAGCAUAUCUGUGGUAAUCCGAAUUUCAAUAAGAACAUUUGAAGCACAAUGCUAAAUUUUCUUUAUCAAAUUAUCCAAACACCGUUGUAUGGGUAAUGUCAUGAAAUUUCUCCCCCUUUUAUACAGGGUUUUCUACAUUAUACCCUGUCAUGGAUAUCAUGCUCUGUUUGUCUUUGGGAAAGGUAUACCCCUGAAAUAUGUGUUUAAACACAUUUUCCUUUCCAUUGCUUUGCUUAACCUUUCUUGUGAUCUAUAUGAUAUAAGCAGUAAUGCUUCCCUGCUUAUGUAAACACUUCGGUGUACCAUCCUGUCUGGUGUAACCCUGUUACUAUUGUUGAUGACAUUCUGGUAGCCACCGAUGGACGAGAACUCUGCCUAUUGGUCCGCCUCGUUUCAACGAGCAGGAAAAUGGUUCUCUUCGUCCCUCGCCCUUGGUACCGACAUUGUUGCCGACAUAACUGAUAGGCUACCCUCUGACAUGUCUUGCUAUCAUGACCGUGCAAGAUGUCAACGCCCUUCCUACUUUUAACCACAUGGUGGGCCCAUAACCCACAGCUCGACAGGAUUGAAACCUGACUCCUGUACACCCCAUGUUUCCAUUGUUAUUCCUCACGCGUGGCUUCGUACGUAAUUCACGAGCUACCUUUCGAGAGAUCAUCAAUUCUAGUUUUAGCCGCAAUACUUAUUCUGAUGCACUAAACCCCUCUCACACUCCGUUUCAGGCAUCGAACAUUUGCCUACCUGCUUGAAAAUUCUCAUGCUUACUAUUAUGUCUCUCGAUGUAUUUUCUAAGUUCCAACUCGAGAGAUACUCAUAUGUUCAUUCAUGGGUUAACCCCAGAUGAAUACCCUCUUAGCAUUCUAUCGUUGCCAAGCCGCCCUUACCUAUUCGUAAGUACGAUGGAAUUCUCGAAGGAUGACGACUUCAUCAUGAUGACCUGAAGCAGAGAAAUGAAGACAACAGCAUAAUGGAUUGACCUCUUCGAGAAGAGCAACCAAGACCAAGAAGAUUCGUUAGAAUUUCGUAACUAGACCUCCCCCCUCUCUACCUCUUAAAUCUCGGGACGAGAUUUCUUGUAGUGGAGGAGAAUUGUGACGCCCGGAUAAUUAAGCUACAGUAACUCCAUGCUAAUGAUGCCACGUCACCUCGGUUAAUGUUGCUAAUCGCGCGUUAGUUCAGAACCGAUCCAAAUUCAACUUUGAAUUAAAGGCAAACAACAAAAGCUUUCAAACAUUAAAACAAAAUGUGACAAAUGUGACAAAUAAAUCUGAAGUAAUUAUGAUGGAGAAACCACAUUUUUAUAAAUCAAUUAAAUGCACUUAGACAAUUAAAAUAGUAGUUAAAACAAUUAAAUAAUUGCCUUUUGUAUUUUAUAAAAUACUAAAAUAUUUAUUCUAGGGUAAAACUUUUGUGGCCGCGGGUUAUGUUAUAACACCAAUAUAGGAAUUUACCGUAUAAUUUAUAAAUCAAAAAUUGAUUAAAAACUAAGAGAAAACAUAAGCUAAAAUAAAAGAAAAAGGCAAAAGAAAAGAAGUAAUGCAAGUCAAACACUGUGCACUUAGCCUGCUCGCUACAGGAGCAACCCAGCCCACCAAGGGGGCCUUCUCCUUCCCCCUGUUCAUCAUGGUGCGGUGGACGCCGACGGCACGUCCACGGCAUGGAUCUGCCACGCGGCAGCCAUCCAGAGGCCAUCGGCGCCCUAUAGGUCGCCCCCGACUCCCUUGCAAACCCUGGCGCCCUCUUUUCCCCUGCUCUCGUCCCUCUUCUCCCCACAACACGCAACCGCCGCCGCCGUCACCAUAGAUGCCCUCGGCCGCGCGCUCUCCGGCCUCCCCGCGCCCUGGGACCGCAUCCGCCAGCACCACCAGCGUCUGCUACUUCCUCUCCGUCCACAAGUUCGAGCUCGGAGCCCCUCCACCGUCGGGAUCGAGCUCAUCCCCUACCUUCGGUCGCCGCCGUCAACCUCGACGAUCCACCACCCCUGCAGCUCCUAAGCUUCCACCGAGCCAUCGUGCGCUCCUCGGUGAGCAUCCGCUCUCCCCCCUCCUCUGUUUUCCAGCUCGUGCUCCGUUACGCCGCCCCGUGCCGUCUACGUUCCUUCCAGUGGCCGCGGUCAUGGCGACCGCGCCCACCACCCAGCCCGCGUCCAGUCCACGCCCCUAGUAUGCCCUGCGCCCGCCCGUGCGUGCGGCCUCCGCGCCCACGCCGCACCCGUGCGCGCCCCCUGUCCUCGCCGAUGCUCCUUGCCGCCUCCAUCCCGUCCAUGGUCGUGUCGUGAUACGCGUGCCCUGCUCGGCUACUGCUUUGUCGCUGAUGUUGCUUUGCCGUGCUGCUGCUAGUUACUCCCGCCACUGCCUGCUGAUGCUGCUACUGCACCACUACUGCUGCUACGACUUCGUCUGCUGUUGCUCGCCUCGCAUGCGCGCCUUAGACCGCUGCUGCCGCGCACGCACGCCCGGCCGUGGCCUUGCCACCGCCACUGGACAGCGCCCUGGCCGCCUAGUGCGCGCCCUGGGUUUACGCCUCGCCCCGCGCUCGAAGCCCCUCGUCGCCGCGCCGCGCUGCUGCUACUGCCGUUUUGUUGCUGUCGCUGCUACAGUGAACUGAACUUCACUGUAGCGCUGGCUAGCUUUGCUGCAAUAACGCUGUUCAGCCUUCUGUUUGGCUGCAAAACAACAGCAAAACAAAUUUUAUUAUGAGAAAUAUUUAUGUGGGCGUGUAGUACACUUGACAAGCUCCAAGUUACCCCAUUUGACCAAAUUCAAAUAAGGCAUGAAUUAAAUCCUACAAAAAUCACAAAAUGCUAUCUUGUGUUAAAAGGAAUAGAUUUACUCCCUAGUACUGUGUGUGUUCUGUAGGUGUGUGUGAUGUGUGUACAACGUGUGUGUGUGUGGCCGUGUGUGGGGCUGCCCCAAAUUAGUUUAGGUCUAAUUUAAUUAGAUAGAUUAGUUUUAGGAUUACUUUUGCUGUUUAGCUAGUACUAGUAUUUAAUUAGUGCUAAGUUACUUUAGUAGUAGAUGACAUGUGGGUCCUCAUUUAGAUAAGUUAGGUUUAUUUAUUUGUUUAGGAAAAUAGUCUAUGACAUGUGGGCCACACAUGCCCUUUUGACUAGUCAAAUUGACUUGGUCAAUUCGGAUUAAACUAAAUAUAAUAAAUCCAGAAAUUUCAGAAAAUACUUAAAACUUUGGAAAAUCAUAGGAAAUUAACCAUAACUCGAAUGAAAAUACUUUGUACAUGAAAGUUGCUCAAAACGAUGAGACGAAUCCGAAUACGCAGUCCGUUCAUCCGCCACAUAUCCCUAACAUAGUGAACGUGCAACAAUAACCCUCCAAUUCGUCUGUCCGAAAACGUCAAACACCGGGAAUACUUUUUCGGAUGUUUUCCCCCUUCGCCUGUCAUUGUUGCUCCAGCUGUUGAUACCUUACCUGCAAUCCUAAAUGCUUAGUAUAGGAUGCUAGUUUAUCAUCAGUGUCCCUACAUUCUUGUCCGUCUGCCAUGCUAUACUAUCGGGCCGUGAUCACUUGGAAGGUGAUCACGGGCAUAUACUAUAUACUUUACACUGUUACAUUACCGGUGAUACUGUUUGGAGAUGGGGCUGAAGGGGCAGGUAGCUCCAUCCCGGUAGAGGUGGGCCUGGGUUCCUGACGGCCCCCGACUAUUACUUUGUGGCGGAGCGACAGGGCAGGUUGAGACCACCUAGGAGAGAGGUGGGCCUGGCCCUGGUCGGCGUUCGCGGUUACUUCAAAAUAACACGCUUAACGAGAUCUGGGUAUUUUAUCUGAGUCUGGCUACUGGCCUAUACGCACUAACCAUCUACGCGGGGACAGUUAUGGGCACUCGACGUCGUGGUAUCAGCCGAAGCCUUUGUGACGUCAGCGACUGAGCGGCGCGCGCCGGAUUGGACCGUAAGCCUGCUCUUGUAUUAAGGGGGCUAGUUCUGCUUCCGGCCGCGUUUGCAACGUGCAGGUGUGCGAAGGGCGAUGGGCCCAGACCCCUGCGCCAUAGGAUUUAGACCGGCGUGCUGACCUCUCCGUUGUGCCUAGGUAGGGCUGCGACGUGUUGAUCUUCCGAGGCCGGGCAUGACCUAGGAAAGUGUGUCCGGCCAAAUGGGAUCGAGCGUGUUGGGUUAUGUGGUGCACCCCUGCAGGGAAGUUAAUCUAUUCGAAUAGCCGUGAUCUUCGGUAACAGGACGACGAGUUGUACCUUGACUUUAUGACAACUAGAAUCGGAUACUUAAUAAAACACACCCUUCCAAGUGCCAGAUACAACCGGUUAUCGCUCUCUAAAAGGGCGACGAGGGGAGGAUCAUCGGUUAGGAUUAUGCGAUGCGAUGCGAUGCUACUUGGUGGAUUUACCUUCUGCUCUCUUCUACAUGCUGCAAGAUGGAGGUGGCCAGAAGCGUACUCUUCGAUAUGACUAGCUAUCCCCCUCUUAUUCCGGCUUUCUGCAGUACAGUCCACAUAUGAUACCCUUAUUCCAUUUGAUAUCAGUGCAUACAUAUGUAGUGUAGCUCCUUGCUUGCGAGUACUUUGGAUGAGUACUCACGAUUGCUUUUCUCCCUCUUUUCCCCCUUUCCAUUCUACCUGGUUGUCGCAACCAGAUGUUGGAGCCCAGGAGCCAGACACCACCUUCGACGACGACUGCUACUACACCGGAGGUGCCUACUACUACGUGCAGCCCAUUGACGAUGACCGGGAGUAGUUUAGGACGAUCCCAGACAGGAGGCAUGUGCCUCUUUCGAUCUGUAUCCCAGUUUGUGCUAGCCUUCUUAAGGCAGACUUGUUUAACUUAUGUCUGUACUUAGAUAUUGUUGCUUCCGCUGACUCGUCUAUGAUCGAGCACUUGUAUUCGAGCCUUCGAGGCCCCUGGCUUGUAUUAUGAUGCUUGUAUGACUUAUUUUAUUUUAGAGUUGUGCUGUGAUAUCUUCCAGUGAAUCCCGUGUAUGAUUAGUGUACGGUCAAAUUGG
rnacentral:lncRNA from 1 species